rnacentral:rRNA from 1 species
AGUGAACGCGGCGGCGUGCCUAAUACAUGCAAGUCGAACAGAGAUUAAAUAGCUUGCUAUUUAAUCUUAGUGGCGCACGGGUGAGUAAUAUAUAGUUAAUCUGCCCCAUAGUGGAGGACAACAGUUAGAAAUGACUGCUAAUACUCCAUACUCCUUCUUAUCAUAAGUUAAGUCGGGAAAGUUUUUCGCUAUGGGAUGAGACUAUAUCGUAUCAGCUAGUUGGUGAGGUAAUGGCUCACCAAGGCUAUGACGCGUAACUGGUCUGAGAGGAUGAUCAGUCACAUUGGAACUGAGACACGGUCCAAACUCCUACGGGAGGCAGCAGUAGGGAAUAUUGCGCAAUGGGGGAAACCCUGACGCAGCAACGCCGCGUGGAGGAUGACACUUUUCGGAGCGUAAACUCCUUUUGUUAGGGAAGAAUAAUGACGGUACCUAACGAAUAAGCACCGGCUAACUCCGUGCCAGCAGCCGCGGUAAUACGGAGGGUGCAAGCGUUACUCGGAAUCACUGGGCGUAAAGGACGCGUAGGCGGAUUAUCAAGUCUCUUGUGAAAUCUAGUGGCUUAACCACUAAACUGCUUGGGAAACUGAUAAUCUAGAGUAAGGGAGAGGCAGAUGGAAUUCUUGGUGUAGGGGUAAAAUCCGUAGAGAUCAAGAAGAAUACUUAUUGCGAAGGCGAUCUGCUAGAACUUAACUGACGCUAAUGCGUGAAAGCGUGGGGAGCAAACAGG